rnacentral:rRNA from 1 species
AUUGAACGCUGGCGGUAUGCCUUACACAUGCAAGUCGAACGGCAGCACGGGAGCAAUCCUGGUGGCGAGUGGCGAACGGGUGAGUAAUGCCUAGGAAUCUGCCUAGUGGUGGGGAUAACGUUCGGAAACGGACGCUAAUACCGCAUACGUCCUACGGGAGAAAGCGGGGGAUCUUCGGACCUCGCGCCAUUAGAUGAGCCUAGGUCGGAUUAGCUAGUUGGUGAGGUAAUGGCUCACCAAGGCGACGAUCCGUAACUGGUCUGAGAGGAUGAUCAGUCACACUGGAACUGAGACACGGUCCAGACUCCUACGGGAGGCAGCAGUGGGGAAUAUUGGACAAUGGGCGCAAGCCUGAUCCAGCAAUGCCGCGUGAGUGAUGAAGGCCUCGGUGUAAGACNCUUUACCUACGUACGAUGAUGACGGUAGUAGGAGAA